CACCGGCGGCUCGAGUGGUGGCCACUUUUAUUGGGUCUAAAGCGUCCGUAGCCGGCUUGGCAAGUCCCCUGGGAAAUCUGGCGGCUUAACCGUCAGGCGUCCAGAGGAUACUGCCAGGCUUGGGACCGGGAGAGGUGAGAGGUACCUCAGGGGUAGGGGUGAAAUCUUGUGAUCCCUGAGGGACCACCAGUGGCGAAGGCGUCACACUAGAACGGGUCCGACGGUCAGGGACGAAAGCUGGGGGCACGAACCGG
rnacentral:rRNA from 1 species